rnacentral:rRNA from 1 species
AUUGAACGCUGGCGGCAUGCCUCACACAUGCAAGUCGAACGGCAGCACGGAGCUUGCUCUGGUGGCGAGUGGCGAACGGGUGAGUAAUAUAUCGGAACGUACCCAAGAGUGGGGGAUAACGUAGCGAAAGUUACGCUAAUACCGCAUACGAUCUAAGGAUGAAAGCAGGGGACCGCAAGGCCUUGUGCUCCUGGAGCGGCCGAUAUCUGAUUAGCUAGUUGGUGAGGUAAAGGCUCACCAAGGAAUCGAUCAGUAGCUGGUCUGAGAGGACGACCAGCCACACUGGAACUGAGACACGGUCCAGACUCCUACGGGAGGCAGCAGUGGGGAAUUUUGGACAAUGGGGGCAACCCUGAUCCAGCAAUGCCGCGUGAGUGAAGAAGGCCUUCGGGUUGUAAAGCUCUUUUGUCAGGGAAGAAACGGUGAAGGCUAAUAUCCUUUGCUAAUGACGGUACCUGAAGAAUAAGCACCGGCUAACUACGUGCCAGCCGCCGCGGUAA